AAUUUUUCCUGUGUUUUGCACAUACUUGUUUAGAGCACAGCUCAAAAGGGAUUAACAUCCUCAUAUGACAUUCCUCCUGCUGUACAAUAUGGAAAAAAUCACUUGGGAAAACAGCAGAAAAAGGCUCUGGCACUGAGGGUUUUCCAGCACUUCAGGAACACAAGAUUUAGGCUGAGCAGUGCUAAUCAAUGAAGCUGAACUUCAGUGAAUGAGCAGGAUUAAGUCCAAGAGAAAUAUUGGGAGUUUGUCUGACUUUGUAUUAAUACUGGAUUAUUUGGGCAAGCUCUAAUAAUUUCUGUUGACAUCAGAAAGGAAUGCUGCAACCAGAAUUCCUAAAAGGGCCUUCUUCCCAUGUCUGCCUCAGAAAGAGAAAAAACAAAAGGGCCAGAGAGAAAAUCACCCCACCCACUUCACUGUAAGGAAAAAAGGGAGGGACAAGUCCACAGCUCGUCUUGCCCAAAUAUCUCCAGGAGCUCCUUGCACAGAGCUGCCAACACCAGGCCGCUUCCCUGGCAUCCAUUUCAGGGACAAGUCAGGACAACCUAUGCAGGGCCAGAGGAUUUUAGACAUCUGUUGAUGACAAAGAAAAAAUUCAUACCUUCCUGGGAAAGUCUGAGCUUGUCUGAGCACGGUGCAGAGGCCACAAGGGCAGGCCAGCGCUGCUCUGCGUUCCCCACACGCAGCCCACCUCCCUCAGCGCUGGUGCCAGAGGCAGGACGAGCCUUUGCUGCUCCGUGCUGGGCUCCUGUUGAGGGCAGCAGUCCCUCCCCAGCUGCAGGGGGCUCUUUGCUCAGCACUGGCUCCCCCCCAGCCCAGGAUAUUACAGUGACGGGGGAUCAGCUCCACGCUGCUGCCAAUCCCCCUGGAACGAGGCCCCUGGCCCCUCACGGCUGGGCCUCAAGGCCGGUUUUGCUAAGCAGGCAGCCAGCUGGUACUUUGUGAGACUGAACAAAGACAGACGUGUUGAGGAUUCUACCAAGGAUGCAUCUGUCUCCAGAUGAAAGGAUCCUGACAUCAAGCUGACUGCAGCUGGGCUGGAAAAAGUUUUAAAUCACUGCGAUCAACACAAGUUUUGCACCAAAGUACAAAUACACAAGCCAUGAUUUCCUCUGGGUGACAGGCAAAUCCUGUUAUUCUACUUAUGAAUGGGCCUCAUUAAGUAGGAAAAAAAUAGUUGGUGCAACCUGUUCCUUUUUAAAUUAAAUGUAUUAAAGUUGAUAGAUACCCCUAAUUCUCUGUUCAGCCCUUUAUGCAUUGCAAUAACACUGCUCCCAUUGUUAGGGAAAGUCUUGAGUUUGCAUAAUCUGCUUUUCAUUUCCCUGGCAGCUGCAGAUCAUUCUUGGUGACUAAAUUAAAAACAUUUUCUUUCAAGAAUCCACCAGAUCUGUCUUCCUUUUUCCUCCCUCUACCUACAAGUUAGGAGAAAAAAAGAAAACAAAACCUUCCCAACAAGCAUUAAAUCCUAUCAAAUCAGGCUGGAAGGUCACCUCAUCCAUCCCUCUGCCCUGAGGCAAGAAUCAACUCUCCUUAGGCCAUCCCUGACAGAUGCUCACCUAACUCUAAAAAACAUCCAUUGCUGAUUUCACAGCCCAUGCCUACAAGUCUGACCUCAGUGUCCCUUACCAGAGCCAAAGCUCCUCACUGCUUGUCCUGUCCACUCUGAACUGGAGGAGACAAUUUCUCCUUGCAGGGAUGACUGCUCCUCACUUUGAAACAGACCUUAACAUGGGUGCCAAGCUUUCCCCUCCUCUCAUUUAUUCCAAAGAUGUCUUUCUACAGCCUCAAAAGCUCAGCCCUGUCUCAGAGCACCCCAGAAUAGGCAAGUCAAACACUCCUCAGCUCAUUCCUGCUCCUACUUUAAUUCCUGUCCCACACAAAUGAGUGUGGAGCUCGAGCUCUUUGCCUUUGGGGACAGCAGUGGCACUGAGAGGAUUCCAGGAUG
ensembl:lncRNA